rnacentral:rRNA from 1 species
UACGUAGGGUGCGAGCGUUGUCCGGAAUUACUGGGCGUAAAGAGCUCGUAGGCGGCUUGUCGCGUUGUUCGUGAAAAUUUACCGCUCAACGGUGAACUUGCGGGCGAUACGGGCAGGCUAGAGUACUGCAGGGGAGACUGGAAUUCCUGGUGUAGCGGUGAAAUGCGCAGAUAUCUGGAGGAACACCGGUGGCGAAGGCGGCGUUCUGGACUGCAACUGACACUGAGGGAACGAAAGCCAGGGGAGCAAACGGG